rnacentral:rRNA from 1 species
UACGUAGGUGACCAGCGUUGCCCGGAUUUACUGGGCGUAAAGAGCGCGCAGGCGGUCGUUCAAGUCGAGUGUGAAAGCCCCCGGCUCAACUGGGGAGGGUCAUUCGAUACUGAUCGACUUGAAGGCAGGAGAGGGAAGUGGAAUUCCCGGUGUAGUGGUGAAAUGCGUAGAUAUCGGGAGGAACACCAGUGGCGAAGGCGACUUCCUGGCCUGUUCUUGACGCUGAGGCGCGAAAGCUAGGGGAGCAAACGGGG